GACGAACGUUGGCGGCGUGCUUAAUACAUGCAAGUCAACUGAAGCAGUGGUAGCAAUAUCGCUGUGGAGGUGGCGCACGGGUGAGUAACACGUAGGUAAUCUGCCUUCAGGUCUGGCAUAACUCCGGGAAACCGGGGCUAAUAGCAGAUGAUGCAGCGGCUCGACAUCGAGACAGUUGUUAAAGCUAUGGCGCCUGAAGAUGAGCCUGCGUCUGAUUAGCUAGUUGGCGGGGUAACGGCCCACCAAGGCAACGAUCAGUAGCUGGUCUGAGGGGAUGAUCAGCCACACUGGAACUGAGACACGGUCCAGACUCCUACGGGAGGCAGCAGUAAGGAAUAUUGCUCAAUGGGAGAAAUCCUGAAGCAGCAACGCCGCGUGAGGGACGAAGGGCUUUUGCUUGUAAACCUCUGUAGUGAGAGAAAAAAAUCCCAAUCUUUGGGACAUGAUGGUAUCUCAAAAGUAAGCCCCGGCUAACUACGUG
rnacentral:rRNA from 1 species